CAGUCGUACCGGCGGAUAAUCAGCUUUUUGAGUGUGAUUAUGUGGUUUAUGAGGAGUUUAACCGCCUUCAUGUAUUGCAUAUUUGUGCUCUUGGGUGUACUUGCUCGUGUGGUUGGUUAACAUCAAUUUCGGACGCCAUAAAAUGGCUGGAGGAAUGUAGCUUCGAUCUCGUAUUGAAGUGUUAUAGCCUUUGGUAGAUGUGAUGAUCAGGAUUGAGGAUUGCAACGGAUACCCUUUCGGGGCUACUGUCUGAUCUCUGAUUGUUGCUCUGUGCUGAAAGCUUGCUUAUGGCUAUCAGAAUCGAUGGUCAAUAGGUUAGAAU
rnacentral:rRNA from 1 species